UAAAAUGAAAAUACACUUGUAAACGCUAAAAUAUUUUAUGCGACAACUCUAAAUAGAAACUUAUCUCUAUGUAUUUGUCGGCUACGAUCCUUGGUAAAUUUUCACGAUAUGUCAAAAUAUAUAAGUAGUACGAGAAGCAAGUUCAAUAUAAAUAUAAUACUUUAUAACUCCGUGCAAUCAACGCUUAAUGGAGCGGUGCUCCCUUUUAAUGUGGACCCAUAAACUGAACAAGUGGCAAACAAAAUCGACAUAAGAUUUUAUUGCAUGAAGAUAUUGAUGGCACACUUGCUGUUGGGAAACUCUACGUACGGCUCGAUUUGAAAUAUGAAUACUUCAGUUAUGAUACAACGUCUUUAGGCAUGGUGUAAACUUUAAAGCAAAAAGCGCCUCUUGUUGAACACCUGAAGAAGAAGUCCCCGAUCAUGCUAUUCCCAGUCAAUCCAGACACAGAAUUAAAAGCUAAAGUGACAGCACGUCUUCAAAAAACGGGAACCGUUGAUCUUUCUGUAGUUCUCAGAAGUGUUCGCAACUGCUAAGAAGUUCACAAAGAAAUGGAUGUAUUAACAAAUUGACUUGAUAUGUGUUGUAAGACGACGAUCCUCUCAAGUGGGAAAAGCUGCAAGCCCGAGAAGAAAAGCGGAUUGAGAGAUAUGAGAAGUUAUAGUUGUGCACGAGGUUGACCUUGAGAGUGAAGAUGAUUAUGACCGAGAGUGAAUUGAAGAAGAACAAUUUUUAAAUUAAAAUUUACGACGGAAAAAUAAAAUUCAUACAUUUAAGAUGACA